UUCUCUUCUCUGUAACCGGCUGCUACAAGUGUUGGAAUCUCCACGUUCUGCAGGAGAGAUGCUCCUCCACCUACAACGGCACUGUAUCCAGAUAAAUUCGUCGUGGAAGGAAACGCCAAUUCCACACCUUUUGGACUUUCUUGUUGAAGCUUGACCGAAUGAAAGAUAGAACUCAAGACUAAAGAUCUGAGGCGGGCAGAGGUUGAGAGCAGAUUAUUCUCUCGUGUGAAUUUCUUGUCCUUACUGACUUUUGCUUUUCUUUUACUUGAGAUGUACUCAUCCACCCCGUUCUCCAGGAAAGGCUUUGUACCUCUCUAGAGGAGCCACCAACCCAGGGUUCCAGUCUUUGCUGCAUCCCUGGCUAAUCUGUUCUACCUCAUGGCCCUGUGACAUCUUUAAUUAGUUUUCACCCAAUGUUACAUAUAUAAAUACAUGCUAACAUGAA